GUCCUAAUACUCAGUACCUCAAAAGGGGACCCUCUUUGGAGAUAGUGUCUUUGCAGAGGCAAUCAGGUUGAAGCAGGGUCAUUAGGGUGGGCCCUAUCCAGUAUGACUGCUGUCCUAAUCAAAAGGGGACAUGUGGACGCAGACCCAUCCAGGGGGAAGAUGCUGUGAAGAAACCCAGGGAGGAGAUGGCCCCUCCACAAGCCAACGAAAGCCUGAGGCUCCCAGAAGCCAGGAGAGAGGCCCGAACAGAUCCUCCCUCACGGUCCUCAGAAGGAGCUGACUCUGUUGACACCUUGAUCUUGGAUGGCCAGCCUCCACAAGUUAGCUGAGGCUCAGCCAUCACAGCAGCCACUCAACUGCUCACAGGCAGCCGAUGUUCAAACCGUGUUCAAGCAAGGCAUGCCCCAGCUGUGGCCAAUCCAGCUGUGUCUACACCUCACUGCCGUUUUCGACGUUGUGGGUGGGACAGAAAGCCCCAACCUUCAGUCCUGCCUUGGUCUUUCUGGUGACCAUCCCUCAUCCUGAAGCUACCUGGAGGCUGCCAGCCAUCGUCAGCAUAUGAAGAGACUCAUCACUUUGGAGAUUCUAAGGAUUUUAGGAGUUGUGUGCCAGCAGCUUGGGAUGAAAACCAAAAAUGUACUUUUACGGUAUCACACCAUGAAACCACCACUCCAUGGAUCAAUCCAUUCCUGAGGGCACAGUCCUCACAAUCCAAUCAUCUCUUACGGGCCCCACCUUCUGCCACCAUCUUGAGGGCUAAGUUCCAACAUGAGCUUGGUGGGACAUUCAAACCACAGCAGGUCUAAAAAUGAAAGGGAUGGUGAUGUUGUGAUCUCCUAUCCAAGGCCCGUUCUGCACCUGUACUGUAGAUGGUGUCUUCUGACCUAUAGGACUAUAAGGUAAUAAAUACAUGCUGUUUUAAGCCA